CAUGCAGUCGAACGCGUCUCCGUUAAUGAUUUUAGGUGCUUGCAUUUGAAAGACUUAACAUUGAGACGAGUGGCGAACUGGUGAGUAACACGUGGGUAACCUGCCCUUGAAGUAGGGGAUAACACUUGGAAACAGGUGCUAAUACCGUAUAACAACCAAAACCACCUGGUUUUGGUUUAAAAGACGGCUUCGGCUGUCACUUUAGGAUGGACCCGCGGCGUAUUAGCUUGUUGGUAAGGUAACGGCCUACCAAGGCGAUGAUACGUAGCCGACCUGAGAGGGUAAUCGGCCACAUUGGGACUGAGACACGGCCCAAACUCCUACGGGAGGCAGCAGUAGGGAAUCUUCCACAAUGGACGAAAGUCUGAUGGAGCAACGCCGCGUGAGUGAUGAAGGGUUUCGGCUCGUAAAACUCUGUUGUUGGAGAAGAACAGGUGUCAGAGUAACUGUUGACAUCUUGACGGUAUCCAACCAGAAAGCCACGGCUAACUACGUGCCAGCAGCCGCGGUAAUACGUAGGUGGCAAGCGUUGUCCGGAUUUAUUGGGCGUAAAGCGAGCGCAGGCGGUUUUUUAGGUCUGAUGUGAGAGCCUUCGGCUUAACCGGAGAAGUGCAUCGGAAACCGGGAGACUUGAGUGCAGAAGAGGACAGUGGAACUCCAUGUGUAGCGGUGAAAUGCGUAGAUAUAUGGAAGAACACCAGUGGCGAAGGCGGCUGUCUGGUCUGUAACUGACGCUGAGGCUCGAAAGCAUGGGUAGCGAACAGGAUUAGAUACCCUGGUAGUCCAUGCCGUAAACGAUGAGUGCUAAGUGUUGGAGGGUUUCCGCCCUUCAGUGCUGCAGCUAACGCAUUAAGCACUCCGCCUGGGGAGUACGACCGCAAGGUUGAAAC
rnacentral:rRNA from 1 species